UAGGUGCAGUGGAUCGGCCGUAGAGACC
rnacentral:piRNA from 1 species